GUGAAACCUCAGGCCGUGUGGGGGAACACUGAGUCCUGUCAUGCCUUUGAAGUCAACUAGUUAUUUUAAAUUUACUUUUUGAGCACAUUUCAUCCCAUCGACUCAAACUGAAAUAAAGCGGAAUAAGCUGGUCUGUCUUCAGUUUGCUUUCCAAGAGGUUUAGUAUUUUGUAAAAUCGUGCAGGAAAAAUCCAUGCUUCAUUAGUCUGCUAUUCACUGUCCACUUGUCAAUGAGGGAAGGAAAACUAUGCGGUAACGGACUCGAAACCAAAGCAGAUGAUUUAAAGUUCUAAACUUUCAUCUCGGAAACUUCAACUUUCGUCUCCGUUGACUUCACGCUACCCAAUUGAACAAAUCGGAUUCUUUGUGUUCUGAAUUUUUGCCCCCACUGGUUUUCAACAGAGCGUGUUACAGACAUCCUGGGUAAUCUGACUCCUCUCUGUAAGCAUCGUUACUGCUCUCAUCUGCUGAAACAUUUGAGGAGGAAACACACAGAGUCCUCUGAGUCCCGCCCUCUCACUCAGCAAGCCGUGAGUCACGUCCUUCCCGAGUAUCUCAAAUCAGAAACGUAUCCCUACGGCACAUAAAACUCAACCACGGCACUGGUUCAGGAAGCCCGAUGGAUGGAUGGGAUCUGGUCAUAUUGCCACCUGCAGGUCUGCAGCGGUUUUGCAGUGGGGAAGCCGUAACGCCAGAGAGGUUGUUUAAAGGUGGAUGGAGCUGCAAGACGGAGUUCGUCCUUCCUGGCUGCCACGUCUGCUCCUCCGUACCUGAGCAUUGUGCGUUAGUGUGUGACAUGUGUCAGCACAUUACAGGUAAGCCAGAGGACAGACUGGCUUGUUGGGACUGUCCUACCUGCAGAGUUUCCUGUCUUCAUACAGCAUCCUUACAGUAACCCAGAGUGUCUGACUGGCUACCGGCUCUUGUGAAGAACAGACCUGCUGGGCAAACAUACUACCAACACGACAUCAAAGCUCCGGUCUGCGGCGGUUCCCUCAUCCCUGCUCCCAAACAUUUUAUAUUCAUCUCAUUUGUCAAUUGUCAUGCAACUUUUUUUGAUUGAACAUCUUACUUUGACUCUUCAAAACGUUUUCAAUUUUUGCCUUGUCUGAUCAUAAGACAUUUCAGCAAAGCUUGAAAGUUUACAGUUUGAAGAAGAGACUUCUUUCUUCGUCUCACCUUACUCUGGAAACUGACGCUGGCGUUUCAGCGUCCUCCAGGUCAUGUCGUGCUUGAGUGGAUGUUUUUUUUUUUUUUUUUAACUCCCCCUUUCUACCAAAUUGGGUCUUUAGACAGAACCAGCUACCUGCUGGCUCUAGUCCUGGAUCUGGUUAAACACAGGAAGAAAGCUGCAUGGUGACCUUUCAAUCCAACAUUCUUUCAUCCAAAGGAACAUAGUCUGAGUCAGACGGAUGAAACGCCUGGCUUUCCAGCCGGAGAAAGAUGGAAACCGUUAUUAAGAAGAGACUUUGAAGUCAGGCUAGCAUUAAUCUUCAGGAAUGGCUUCCGACAUCAAGCCUACUGAAGUUUGUAAACUGUGUGCAAAAGAUCUGGAGGAAACCAAGUCGAAGUUCACCAAAUCUGCCUGCAGACAGGUCCGGUAUCCAACUACAAUUAUACCAAAAGCUCAUUGAUAAUCUCUACAGAUUACAUCCUAAUCUGUAAAGAUUAUGAUGGAGGUACAAGUCCCUAAAGGGUGUCCGGUUGGAGAUAUUUGUGCUUGUAUUUAUGGUCUUUAACCUGAUUAGUGUAAAGGAAAUUACAAAUUUACAGUAGAUUUAAAGUAUUCUCACUUUUUUUGGAAAUUAUUUGUUAAAUCUAAAUGUUAAAACACAUUUCUGUUUU